CCUACGGGAGGCUGCAGUGGGGAAUAUUGCACAAUGGGGGAAACCCUGAUGCAGCGACGCCGCGUGAGUGAAGAAGUAAUUCGUUACGUAAAGCUCUGUCAGCAGGGAAGAAAAUGACGGUACCUGAGUAAGAAUCCCCGGCUAACUACGUGCCAGCAGCCGCGGUAAUACGUAGGGGGCAAGCGUUAUCCGGAUUUACUGGGUGUAACGGGAGCGUAGACGGUGCGCCAAGUCGCGGGUGAAAUGCCGCAGCCUAACGGCGGAACUGCUUUGGAAACUGGCGAACUGGAGUGCGGGAGGGGUAAGCGGAAUUCCUGGUGUAGCAGUGAAAUGCGUAGAUAUUAGGAGGAACACCGGUGGCGAAGGCGACUUACUGGACCGUAACUGACGUUGAGGCGCGAAAGCGUGGGGAGCAAACAGGAUUAGAUACCCGGGUAGUC
rnacentral:rRNA from 1 species